GACAGCGUGGUGUAGUGGUUGGUGCGUUGGACGACGACGACUCUGGAGACCAGGGUUCGAAUCCUCGCUCUGUUA